GGGGACUCAAAUAAAAACAUUCCAGGGUUAUACGGUUAACGGUUUAUGAGUUAAAAAAACAUACCGACAAAUUUAUUCCGUAAAGAUAGAUAACUCCUAUAAAAUUUCAUCGAAUCGCUUCGAUCCAAAUUAGCCAAAAAUUUCUGAGGAUGUAACGAACAAUUUGUAAAAAGAAUUUUGUCGCUUUCUUAUUUUGUUACCAAGGAGAUGCACACACAUGAUAAAAACAGUGAAUAGGGAGAUAACUCUUACAGAAGAAAAUGGUUCGGCUUAGCAGGGUGAAAUUUAAAAGCGCAUAAACUAUACGAUACAAUAUGAAAAAAAUCUAAGCGACAUAUUGCGAAACAAACAUUUAUCGCAAGAACAAAAUUUGGCGGAAGAAAAAAAAAAAAAAAUAAUAAUAAUAAUAAUCAGAACAAAUACAAUAGGCUUUCCACAGAAAAGUGGAAAGACCUAAUAAUCAGAAGAAAAACAAUAAGUCUUUCCACAGAAAAGUGGAAAGACUUAAUUAUGAAC
rnacentral:lncRNA from 1 species